rnacentral:lncRNA from 1 species
AGAAAGUUAAGAAAAAAAUUAUGAUGUCUAUUUGGAGUAAUAGUGAAGACUCAAGCUCUGAUGAGAAAACUCAAGAAGUGGCAAAUCUAUGCUUUAUGGCACAUGAAGAGUAGGUAAAUUCAAGAACUAAGAUUGAUUUUAUAUUUGAUGAAUUACAAGAUCCAUUUUAUGACCUUUUAGAUGAAUUUAAAAUGUUUGGUUUGAAGAAUAAAGAGCUUAAAAGGUAUAAUCAUAUUUUGAUUAAAGAAAAGG